rnacentral:rRNA from 1 species
GAUGAACGCUGGCGGCGUGCCUAAUACAUGCAAGUCGAACGCUUCACUUCGGUGAAGAGUGGCGAACGGGUGAGUAAUACAUAAGUAACCUGGCAUCUACAGGGGGAUAACUGAUGGAAACGUCAGCUAAGACCGCAUAGGUGUAGAGAUCGCAUGAACUCUAUAUGAAAAGUGCUACGGGACUGGUAGAUGAUGGACUUAUGGCGCAUUAGCUUGUUGGUAGGGUAACGGCCUACCAAGGCGACGAUGCGUAGCCGACCUGAGAGGGUGACCGGCCACACUGGGACUGAGACACGGUCCAGACUCCUACGGGAGGCAGCAGUAGGGAAUUUUCGGCAAUGGGGGAAACCCUGACCGAGCAACGCCGCGUGAAGGAAGAAGUAAUUCGUUAUGUAAACUUCUGUCAUAGAGGAAGAACGGUGGAUAUAGGGAAUGAUAUCCAAGUGACGGUACUCUAUAAGAAAGCCACGGCUAACUACGUG